GUUGGGACGUAGACACACAUAUACAGAAAUACAGAAAUAUGAUGCAUAAUAGAUAUAUCAGUUGGUAUGAUAAAUAUUGGCAAUUAUAGUAACAAUAAAGAUACUAUAACUAUGACUAGAAAUAAUAGUAGUAGCAGUUCUUAAUAAACA